rnacentral:rRNA from 1 species
UACAGAGGGGGCAAGCGUUGUUCGGAAUUACUGGGCGUAAAGGGCGCGUAGGCGGCCUGCUAAGUCGAACGUGAAAUCCCCGGGCUCAACCCGGGAACUGCGUCCGAUACUGGCGGGCUUGAAUCCGGGAGAGGGAUGUGGAAUUCCAGGUGUAGCGGUGAAAUGCGUAGAUAUCUGGAGGAACACCGGUGGCGAAGGCGGCAUCCUGGACCGGUAUUGACGCUGAGGAGCGAAAGCGUGGGGAGCGAACAGG